UACGUAGGGUGCGAGCGUUAAUCGGAAUUACUGGGCGUAAAGCGUGCGCAGGCGGUCUGUUAAGACCGAUGUGAAAUCCCCGGGCUUAACCUGGGAACUGCAUUGGUGACUGGCAGGCUUGAGUGUGGCAGAGGGAGGUAGAAUUCCACGUGUAGCAGUGAAAUGCGUAGAGAUGUGGAGGAACACCGAUGGCGAAGGCAGCCCCCUGGGUCAAGAUUGACGCUCAUGCACGAAAGCGUGGGGAGCAAACAGG
rnacentral:rRNA from 1 species